rnacentral:rRNA from 1 species
GUGGGUGGCGAGUGGCGGACGGGUGAGGAAUACAUGGGAAUCUGCCCAGUCGUGGGGGAUAACGUAGGGAAACUUACGCUAAUACCGCAUGCGCCCUUCGGGGGAAAGCCGGGGACCUUCGGGCCUGGCGCGAUUGGAUGAGCCCAUGUCGGAUUAGCUAGUUGGUGGGGUAAAGGCCCACCAAGGCGACGAUCCGUAGCUGGUCUGAGAGGAUGAUCAGCCACACUGGAACUGAGACACGGUCCAGACUCCUACGGGAGGCAGCAGUAGGGAAUAUUGGACAAUGGGCGCAAGCCUGAUCCAGCCAUGCCGCGUGUGUGAAGAAGGCCUUCGGGUUGUAAAGCACUUUUAUCCGGAAAGAAAAGCGCUGGGUUAAUACCCUGGUGUCCUGACGGUACCGGAAGAAUAAGCACCGGCUAACUUCGUGCCAGCAGCCGCGGUAAUACGAAGGGUGCAAGCGUUACUCGGAAUUACUGGGCGUAAAGCGUGCGUAGGUGGUUUGUUAAGUCUGAUGUGAAAGCCCUGGGCUCAACCUGGGA